rnacentral:rRNA from 1 species
GACGAACGCUGGCGGCGUGCUUAACACAUGCAAGUCGAACGGAAAGGCCCUGCUUUUGUGGGGUGCUCGAGUGGCGAACGGGUGAGUAACACGUGAGUAACCUGCCCUUGACUUUGGGAUAACUUCAGGAAACUGGGGCUAAUACCGGAUAGGAGCUCCUGCUGCAUGGUGGGGGUUGGAAAGUUUCGGCGGUUGGGGAUGGACUCGCGGCUUAUCAGCUUGUUGGGGAGGUAGUGGCUUACCAAGGCUGUGACGGGUAGCCGGCCUGAGAGGGUGACCGGCCACACGGGAACUGGGACAGGGUCCAGACUCCUAAGGGAGGCAGCAGGAGGGAAUCUGACGCAAGGGGCGAGAGCCUGACGGAGGCACGCCGCGUGAGUGAUGAAGGUCUUCGGAUCGUAAAACUCUGUUAUUAGGGAAGAACAAAUGUGUAAGUAAAUCUGCACGUCUUGACGGUACCUAAUCAGAAAGCCACGGCUAACUACGUG